ACGCGAAGAACCUUACCAAGGCUUGACAUACUACAGAUUUCUUUGAAAAAGGAAAGUGCCUUCGGGAAUGUAGAUACAGGUGGUGCAUGGCUGUCGUCAGCUCGUGUCGUGAGAUGUUGGGUUAAGUCCCGCAACGAGCGCAACCCUUAUUUUUAGUUGCUAAUUUAGUUUAGGUUUUCUAGAAAGACUGCCGGUGACAAACCGGAGGAAGGUGAGGAUGACGUCAAGUCAGCAUGCCCCUUAUGCCUUGGGCUACACACGUGCUACAAUGGUUAAGACAAAGAGUUGCGAGCUCGUGAGAGUCAGCUAAUCUCAUAAACUUAGCCUAAGUUCGGAUUGUAGGCUGCAACUCGCCUUCAUGAAGUCGGAAUCGCUAGUAAUCGCUGGUCAGCCAUACAGCGGUGAAUCCGUUCCCGGGCCUUGUACACACCGCCCGUCACACCAUGGGAGCUGGUCAUGCCCGAAACCGUUAGCUUAACCUUUAUGGAGAG
rnacentral:rRNA from 1 species